rnacentral:misc_RNA from 1 species
GAUGAAGAACGCAGCGAAAUGCGAUAAGUAAUGUGAAUUGCAGAAUUCAGUGAAUCAUCGAAUCUUUGAACGCACAUUGCGCCCCCUGGUAUUCCGGGGGGCAUGCCUGUUCGAGCGUCAUUUCACCACUCAAGCCUCGCUUGGUAUUGGGCAACGCGGUCCGCCGCGUGCCUCAAUCGACCGGCUGGGUCUUCUGUCCCCUAAGCGUUGUGGAAACUAUUCGCUAAAGGGUGCUCGGGAGGCUACGCCGUAAAACAAACCCAUUUCUAAGGUUGACCUCGGAUCAGGUAGGGAUACCCGCUGAACUUAAGCAUAUCAAUAAGCGGAGGA